UUGGUGGGCGGGCGUACUUGUAGGGUGGUACUAAUAUUUUUUCAUGUCGGUCUUAUUCUCGCACGAUCAGUAAAAGCUAAAAUGACGGGGACUCCGUGUGUUCCCUGUUUUCUGGUGGCAGUAUUAUGGGUUGGCUGCUCCGGUUUGACACUCUCUAUUCCUACAAGCCCCGUUUUCAGACGGGUAGGCGGCGAUGUGACAUUAAGCUUUUCACUUAAUCCUUCAAAUGCCGUGUUACAGGCUGUGACCUGGACGUUCACUAACACCACUAACAAUGUGGUGAUUUUGUCGGAUGGUGCAGUUUCAUACGGACAGGGUAUGAAGGAGAGCCCAUCUGAACAACAUCACAGGAUUUCUGUCGCUCUUCAGACUGACACUAAAUGACUCGGGACAGUACAGCGUGAGCAUCAUAACUACUGAGGGAGGGAGUGCAAGUGGAAGUGUCACACUUCAAGUGUUAGACAUGUUGUUAACUACAGAUGAAACUGUAGCAAUUGCUGUGUGCUGUGUUCUUCUUUGUACUUGCUGUUACUGCUCUAGUCGUUUUUCUAUUGAUGAGACAUCGCCGGUAAGUACCAUCCACAAGUAUACUAAGUUUCUUUCAUUUUUAUUUUGUUUGCGAUUACAAGCUUUAUAAAUGAAUAAUUACUAUUAUGACAAAGUGCCUAAAUGGCAAGAGAUUACCAGAGGCAAGGUCACCACCAAGUCAGGACAGUACAGAAAUCCAUCUAACAGCCGCCCCUCCAGAAGAGAAAGAAAGAGAGUGCCACAUUUACUGCAGUAGAGGCCCUGCAUAUGCCACUGUGAAACACAGAGUGAUAUGCUCCAAUUGUAUGCUGCAUGUCCCCAAAAGCAUCAGUCAGGGGCACCAGCUGAAGUGUGUUAGAGAGAGAGCAAGAGAGCUACUAAGUUCAAAGUGGGUACUGUAAUUCCCUUGACAACAGAGGACAGGGAGCCACCUGCUACCAGGAACACAUCACCUCUUCUUCCAGGAAUAGAGUGUGGACAGGAAGGAAAUGUCAGGGGUAGCAAAAUGACCAGGACAGUGAAAGGUAAAUGGUCACAAGAAGGAACAUAAAGGACCAUGCUAUCCCUCUGAAACAGGAGGCAACUGGGGAAUGGCCUUGUACAAUAAAACAAUUUUUUCUUUGUAGCUUGGGUUUCUUGGUGCCAAAUUUCUUUUGAGUGUUGAUGAAACUUGAUGAAGCCUUGGGGCACAAUUGGCUUCAAACAGGUUAUGAAUAAUUAUCUGAGAGAUCAGGAAUAAUAGGCAGGAUGCAUUCUCCUCAUAUGGGGAUAUCAUUGAGAAUGUUAUGUUCAUUUGGGACAAGACUUUUGCAACAGAGAAAUGACAUCAAAUGUAAGGGAUGAUCUAGAAGAGUGAAUUAAAGAGAGCUGAGAGGUCAAGAGAAGUCAGCACUGUAAAAGCCAAGAUGCAAACCAUAACUAAAAGUCAAAAAUAUAAAAAAUAAGUUAAGCAUAAAUAUUCUUUGUUUUCUGAAUGGUCCAUUGUGAGUUUAUUCCCUUGUUUAUAUCUAAUGUUAUGGCCAGAUGAAGAUUCUGUUGUGCUCUUGGGUAUCAGCACCUCUAGAGCCUUCAUACCCAUACAAACAGAAACAAAUCAAAUAUAAUGCACUAUACACCAAUAAAUAAAUAAAUAAAUUAAUUAAUUAAUAAGACAGUAUUAAAGCAAAAAUACUUUCAGAAGAUGGGGAGCUGGACCUGAAUCCAUUUUCUCAAUUUUCAAAUGAAGACCUAGAAGUGGUUUGCUAUUAGAACCUGUACAUAACUGUUAAAAAAUUUUGAAUCAGAGAUUUGCUUUUGUUUUCAAAUUAAACAAAACUUAGAAAACAUGAAAUAACAGCAUAUGCUUUUUUAUUUCUAAUGGUUGUGUUUGGGUUAAAAAGAGUAAGUUUAUCUAAUUCAUUUUCCAAAAAUAGAAACAAACAGAUUGAGGCCUAGGUUCAUUCCUUGUAAUUACUGUAUAUAUUCUAAAGACAUUUAUUUAAAUGUGAACAAAAUGCACAACAAAAAGGGUAAAUACAUACUAUAGAAAAAAGAAUUAUAACUACUAAAGUAUCCUUACAGCCAAAACUCAAGCAAAUCCAUAGAAUAAGUCAAAACACAGCGCAGUGCAAGAUAAAAGGGCAAAAAGCAGAACAGCUUCUUUCUAAAUGAAGACCCUUGCUAAAUUGCUACUUCCCUUACUUAUUUUUCACCUGGUCCCCAUAAUGUAGAAAUGCUAGAAGAUCUUUGCUGCUGAUCAUCAGGUGGGGCUUGAACCCCAUCAUAAUCAUCCUCAGACUCACUAAUGUUAGCCCCUUGCUUCUGGGUACUUGUGUUGCUGUAACUGUUAUCCACCCCUCAUAUCCUGCCAAGUUAAUAUUAGCUUUUCUCUGCUAUUGAAACUUCACGCUUUCUAAGUAAAAAAUCUAGUCAUUUCAGGCACAGUUUGUAAUGUAGCUGCAUUUUGAGACUCUUUAUUUUUCUUUUAGAGCAUCUAUUAAGCCAGGAGAUCUUGAUCUUUAAUUAUCAAAAGCCUCAUCUCUAGUUGCCAACAAGCUAAGUGGGCAGCACAAUAAGAAAUCUUAUCUAACUUCCAUCCAUCCAUCCUCUUCCACUUAUCCGAGGUCAGG